rfam:Cricetulus griseus cell line CHO-K1, whole genome shotgun sequence.
GCAUUGUGAGGAUGUGACUAUACCAACUGUGACAUCUUGUUCACUAGGAUGGAUUUACUUAAUUUGUUUGUCUAGGCAGAUGUUCCCUUCUUCUCUCAUCACUGCAGGUGUGGCCCUCCUGUAACAUGUUCAGUUGAAGGCUCUGACCUUCCAGGACAGAGGACGGCCAUUUCUUAGUUCAAGGGUAAGAGUAUCUGAGCUCCCUACUAGAACCUCCAAACAUGCUCUCAAAAGUAUUGUAGACCAGGUGGUGGUGGUGCAUGCCUUUAAUCAGAGGCAGAGGCAGGUGGAUCACGGAGUUCCAGGCCAUCCUGCU